GACGAACGCUGGCGGCGUGCUUAACACAUGCAAGUCGAACGGUGAAGCGCCUUCCUUUUUGGUGGGUGUGGAUGAGUGGCGAACGGGUGAGUAACACGUGAGUAACCUGCCCCCUUCUUCUGGAUAACCGCAUGAAAGUGUGGCUAAUACGGGAUAUUCUGUGUCUGUCGCAUGAUGGGUCUGGGAAAGAUAUUGUUUCGGUGGGGGAUGGGCUCGCGUCCUAUCAGCUUGUUGGUGGGGUGAUGGCCUACCAAGGCGGUGACGAGUAGCCGGCCUGAGAGGGUGGACGAUCACACAGGGGCUGAGACACGGACCAGACUCCUACGGGAGGCAGCAGUGAGGAAUAUUGCACGAUGGGCGCAAGCAUGAUGCAGCGACGCCGCGUGAGGGAUGGAGGCCUUCGGGUUGUGAACCUCUUUCGCCAGUGAAGCAGGCCUGCCUCGUUUGUGGGUGGGUUGACGGUAGCUGGAGAAGAAGCGCCGGCUAACUACGUG
rnacentral:rRNA from 1 species